rnacentral:rRNA from 1 species
AACGAACGCUGGCGGCGUGCUUAACACAUGCAAGUCGAACGGCAAGGCCCUGCUUUUGUGGGGUGCUCGAGUGGCGAACGGGUGCGUAACACGUGAGUAACCUGCCCUUCUCUUUGGGAUAACUUCAGGAAACUGAAGCUAAUCCCAUAUAGGAGCUCCUGCUCGAGGGUGGGGGGGGGAAAGUUUCGGCGGGUGGGGAUGGACGGGCGGCUUAUCAGCUUGUUGGUGGGGUAGUGGCUUACCAAGGCUUUGGCGGGUCGCCGGCAGGAGAGGGGGACCGGCGACAAUGCGACUGAGAGACGGACCAGACUCGUACGGGAGGCAGCAGGGGGGAGCAUGGCACAAUGGGCGGAAGUCUGAUGCAGAGACGCCGCGGGCGGGAAGACGGCCUGCGGGGUGAAAACCGCUGUCGCCUGUGACGAAGCGUGAGUGACGGUAAUGGGUAAAGAAGCACCGGCUAACUACGUG